UACCUGACACAUUUCUCCCAUUUAUACUUGUUGUUUUCAUAGUCUUGCACACGUGAUCAUUAGUUAAUGCAUCAUUCAUAUCAUAAGCAUCAAACUGACAAAUUUACCAUAAGUAGACCUAAGAAAAUCAUGCACAAAAAACACACACACACACCACGAUUAUUCACAUUAUAAACUAAUUAAUCUACCUCUAGAAAAUGCACCUAUUUGCAAUAAAUGCAUUACCCCAUUAUUCUUACAUGUGAUAUGUUUCCAAAGGGUUAAACCAAGCAAGCCAAAAGCUCCUAAGUUUGGGUGAACCUAUGGACGCAUGUAGCAUUACAUGAAUUUUAGUGACAAACCCACGAG
rnacentral:lncRNA from 1 species